rnacentral:rRNA from 2 species
GAUGAACGCCGGCGGUGUGCCUAAUACAUGCAAGUCGAACGCGUUGGCCCAAUUGAUUGAUGGUGCUUGCACCUGAUUGAUUUUGGUCGCCAACGAGUGGCGGACGGGUGAGUAACACGUAGGUAACCUGCCCAGAAGCGGGGGACAACAUUUGGAAACAGAUGCUAAUACCGCAUAACAGCGUUGUUCGCAUGAACAACGCUUAAAAGAUGGCUUCUCGCUAUCACUUCUGGAUGGACCUGCGGUGCAUUAGCUUGUUGGUGGGGUAACGGCCUACCAAGGCGAUGAUGCAUAGCCGAGUUGAGAGACUGAUCGGCCACAAUGGGACUGAGACACGGCCCAUACUCCUACGGGAGGCAGCAGUAGGGAAUCUUCCACAAUGGGCGCAAGCCUGAUGGAGCAACACCGCGUGAGUGAAGAAGGGUUUCGGCUCGUAAAGCUCUGUUGUUAAAGAAGAACACGUAUGAGAGUAACUGUUCAUACGUUGACGGUAUUUAACCAGAAAGUCACGGCUAA